UCUUCGCGCCAGCGUGCGCCCGCCCCUUCCCGUUCCGGAAGGACGGCAGCUUCCCCAGGCGCUCAGGCUGGGGACCGAGUUGAGGAGGAGGAGAUGGGGGAGGCGGUGCCGCCUUCGCCCCGCCCCGCACGGCGGCGCCGUUGCCGGGCAGCCGCCGCCAUGGGUUCGCUGCGGGGGCGCUGCGCCGAGGUUUUUGAAGCGUGCGAUGAAGGUAACAAAGGCUAUCUGAACAGAGAGGACUUUGAAGUUGCUGUAGUAAUGUUGUUUGGUUAUCAGCUCUCAGAGGUGGAGGUGGAUUCAUUAAUGUCUUCUGUGAGACCAGAAAAUUCAGGUAUAUUAUUUGAAAAGUUUUUAAAUCUCAUGAGUGCAAAGAAAUCUGCACAACUGUAUAGUGAUGAAACAAGAGAAAUAUUCACAGCUUUUGACAUGCAAGAGAGAGGAUUCUUGACUUUUGAAGACUUUAAGAAAACCUUCAAUUCUGUUCUUCCAAAAUUAUCUGAAAGAAUCAUAAUUGAAGCCUUCAGAGAGGUUGAUCAGGAUUCUGAUGGGCGCAUCAGCUUCAAAGAGUUUGAAUGUGCAAUGAAGCACGGACAAGAUGAAGUAUCACCAUUGUACUUCGCCUGAAGAAUGCUCUCUGGUGAAAAGACAAAGUGAAAACUUCAGAUCUCAAGUUAUUUAAAAAUCAAUGAAACUUCAUUUGUUUCAGCCAGCAUUUUAAGAACUUUGACUUUAAGUGUAGCUCUGAAGAACAGCCUUUGAAGCUUUACUGUUGACAAGUUGGGUGUAUUAAUUUAUAUGUGUAUGUGUGCAUAGAAUACUUAAAAUAUUUGAAAACUCUGUUGAUUCCCAGUCACCCUCGUUAGGAAACGCAACUCUGUACUUUUUGGCUUAGAUAGAAAAGAACUGACUCUGAUAUCCAGUUAUUGUGAAAUGUACUCAUUUGAUUUUUCAACAGCCUUUUGUUGGCUGACCAAAAUAUCUCACAUAUGUAGAAACUAAUUAAAAUUAUGGUGGAUAAUGCUUGUUUCUUAGAAAUUAAUAGUAUAUUUGUCUUUCCUUUAUUGUUUCACUUUCAUAUAGUGUUCUUUUUUAUAUUGCAAAUUAUUUUUAAUUUAAGUUUUUAGUUAAUUAGCUACCAGAUUUAAUUCUGAACAAUUGAGAACUGUGUAUAUAUAGUAAAAAAAAAAAAAAAAGAAGAAGAAGAUAAAAUGAACGUGAAUAAUUAGUUAUUUCCUUUUGAACAAUUUUCUAAAUUGAGUUAAGAAUAAAACUUGGUCUGCUUCAUGAACUUCAGUCUGGCAGACUGAAAAUACUAUUCAAGCCUACAGCUGACUUUUAGUGAAGAAUUUGUAUGUAUGUGCUUUAGCAGCAUCAGAGAAUUUUCCAAUUGUUGAGAAGAAGAAAAAGGUAGCAUUUAUCACUGUGGACACAUCUACCUUUCCCUCUCUUUCCUUUCCUUCCUUCUUCCCUCCCUCCCCAUCUCUUUCACUGGGUUACUGCUUAUGGAGAUGUUCUUGCCUCCGGUAACUUUAUAUACACUUAUCCAAGUAGUGCUGUAGUGAGAUAAAUCCUCUUAUUCAAUAUAUUUUAUCAGUGAUCCCUUAUUUUCUAUUGCCUUUGUGUGUUCAUAUGAGUAGUAAUAGAUGAUAGAAAUUUCAUUAUGGGCAUUGAUCUCUGAUCAUUUUUCAUUCUGUUGCUCCAUUUCUGUUUUCUUGCCAAUUGUUAAGUUGCUUGAAUUAGAGAUUCCUUCUGAAUUUGUGCAGAAGCAAUGCCCUCCUCAUGUGAACUUACAGACUGUAGCACACACGUAAUACUACUGUAAAUAACUAAACCAAUAAUAACGAUCAGUAAGAUGAAAAGAGUAUCAUAUCAGUUCUACUGUUGAGUCAAAAGAGAAACGUCUUCCUAACUUUAGUGAGCUAUUCCAAAAUAUAAUGUAUGAGCACAUUUUUUAUAAAAUAACUUCUGUGUUUUCUGUUCCAAUUUCAUACAUGUACCUUACUAGACACACAAAAAGUAAAAUCUUCUUUACUUCCAAGGCAGAUAGUACAUAAAUAAUAGAAUGAAAUUGGAGGCACUGAAUAUGUGAGCAGAUAUAGCUGAUUCUGUGUUCAAGAACCAGGUAUCCAUUAGAUGAAAUGAGCUGUAACACAAAUAGCAUGCUAAUCAGUGCAAGAGAAAUGGUGUUACCUUUGAAAGGUGAUGGAAAGACCUACUAAUAGAUAGAUGGUUAGCCUUAGAAAUGGUAUUUCCCAAUAGAUGAAUGUUUUCAUAAGAGAGUCAUCAUCAUAGAUGUUAAUUAGCAAUAUCAUCACAGUCUCUGCUGAGACACAGAAGAUUGAAUUACUGUCCCACAGGGAGAGAUGCUACAGGUCUAGACACAUUCUUGAAAAAAAUGUCUGAUGGGUUGCUGUGCUAUUACUUACACCACAUUUUUUUGGUCAAUGUACUUCAGUCUACUGACUCAGGUGUCCGGUCGUUACACCUGUCCCAAACACUAAUUCCAUGCAGUAUUAUUUUAUUUAUUUCAAACUAUUUAUUAAGGAGCAACUGAUGUGAAGUUUCUAUCUUACAGAAAUCUCAUUUUCAGUACUAGCUUCCAUUUAGCCAUUAAAAAGUCUAUGAUGUCUUGUUAGUAUUUCUAACCUGACUGUGGUUUUCUGUCUAAAUAUCUGACAAUAUCUGCACUUUAUAGACUCUGUAGAACAGUAACCUUCUGUUGAAGAUUAUUACAGACGGAAAGGUCUCUAUGCUUUUCCUUCUAAGAAAUAUAUAUCUUGUAUUUGUAGCAAGGAACUUCAGAGAGGAAAGUGCCCUCUAUUUGCUUUACUUCUAUACACUCUCAUUCCUUGUUUUCUCAGAGACUUUAAAAGUAUGAACUUGAAUUAUUGAGAAUAGAAAAUCCAGGGGAAGCCAGUGAAAUUAUUUUACCAUGUUGCAAAGGUUUGUUGUUGUUGUUUUUUAAACAUGAUUUUUUAGAGAAGUUCUGUUCUUAAGCAUUCUUGUUUCCCCUCCCAUGAGGACUUGUGGAAAGAAAUUGUAGAUGACCACAGCUGAGUGGAACUGAGUAGGCUCAGGUGAUGCAGUCCCUGCUCUGCAGCUGAAUAAAAGCUAAUUACUAGCUAACUUUUAUCAGAGUUUGAUUAGCAAACUGCAGAAAACUUCAGCUAUCAUUGCAAAUUAAUAAAAUUAGGAAUGACAUUUUGUGGGGUGGGUGAAAUGGGAGAUUAUUCUCACUAAUGAUUUGGGAAACAAAAACAGCAGCUACCCAAGGACUAGAUGAAAGAUGCUUUUCAUUUUUGUGUAUGUUCUGUUGCUGAUGUAACAGCUUCCUUUUUGGUCAACAGGAAAGGAGUGGCAGAGCUGUGAUCAACAUAGCUCACCAGCUGUAAUACUAGGGUUCCUUAAAAGGGAAUAUACACUCACCAACAGGUUACAUUCUUACUUGUAAUACUUCCUAGCAACAAUAAUAGGAGCUCAGGAGGAAAAAAAAAAAAGUUUGAUGACAACCAUCUUUGGCAGAAUCUUGGGAGCCAAAAUGGGUCUGAACCCCAACAAAUGGAAGGCUGAACAUAAGAGCAAGUAAUUACUGAUACGUCCUGUGUAACAGCACAGAGAGACUGUAUCUUCCUGCUGUAAAUGAGCAACUUCAAAUUCCUCCCCACUUCCUUUUCAAUUUACUUUGCAACAGCAUGAAUUUAGUUUAACAAAAUUUAGACUUCCGUUAAUGAAGUUGUUAUACACAAAAAAGAGAGCUUACCAUCUUUAAGCAGUCUUGCUGACUAGCAGAAGUGCUGAUGGGGACUUAGAAAGGGCACUGUUUUGAACAACAGAACUGGAACAGGACCAGAAGCAAAUGAAGCCAAGACUGCAGUGCUCUGUCAGACUGACCACAGCAUGCUUGAAUAUACAUGCUCUGAAAAGUGGUAAUUGGGCAUUUAUCAAUACAUUUGAUUGCAAACACUGCCUGAAGAUGGAGAUCCUUCAGCAAGAGUCCCAAGAACUGUGAGUAUUGUGGACGACUUGAUUUUUGCAGAACAACUGAAUAGUAAGCUGGGAUUGUUCAAAGAGGAAUGAAAACUGAGGAAGAAUGCAAUAACAAUGUUCAAGUGAACACAGGAAUUGCAGAUAUUAACACUGUUCUUCCCAUCCACUGGAAGUACAAAAACUAACAUGAUAGAACUAUAGCAAGUGAGGUUUACUUUAAAGCAGAAAAAACUCUUCAGUAAUCAGAGAGUGACUGUCAGGGAUCUGUUGUCUGAAGCUGUGGUCAAAUGCCCAUAAAGAGGCGGUGUCUAAGAGCAGGCUGAAUAUAUACCUGCAAGGAUGAGCUUAGGUAUAGUCAGGGCAGCUAUGGGGCAGGGAGACAAGACAGCAACCUCUGAGACCUGUUUGGCCCCUGUGCAGUUCUCUGUAUCCUAGGUGAAGACUUUUUCUCUCGUGCAUCUAUACCACCAUCUGUGCAUAUCUUCUCAUUCAACUGAGCCACGUCCUUAGCAGCUCUUCCUGAUGAUCUGUGGUUGAGAUGAGAAAAUGGUGAGGCAUUAUAUAUUUGCAGUUUUAAAAUGAAUUUUAAAAAAUUUGCUUGCUUACCUGAUAUCUUCCAUUUUAAACAUGGAUGAUUGUAAUUCCUAAUGGGAGCAAAAUUGAUAAGGGAGGUGACCAGAAGCUUAUUAUUAAUUUGCAGCUUUUAUCUUUGGGAAAUCAACAUUCUGGCAAAGAAUUUAAUUGGGCUUUUUUGUUAAUUCUCACAGUGAUGCUUUGUUUUUUCCUUUUGGGACUGCAGAGAAAAAACAGCAUCUGGUGUUUGAGGAUGCUGGGGAUUUACACCAUAUUAUGUGUAAUAUCUCUACUGUAAAUAAACAAAAUGAAUAAUUAAGUGAAUAACGAGGUGUCCUGAAUUAUGACUUCUCUGGCUGCAUCUAUGGAAAAUCAAAGGUAUGUUUGUUCUUCUGUAGUUUUGUGCUUUGGAGGGCAUCUUGGUCUUGUCAUUGCCCAUAUGGAUAUUAGCAAUAUAUCUUUUCAAGCAGAAGCCUGAAAUAAUAUUGAUGAAAGCUGCUUGGUAAAAUGGAGGAAUUUUUGCUCUUCAGUGUAGCGUCUGUCUGAGUUAUAAACUGUAAAACAGAAGAAUAUUAGAAACUGUGUCAUAACCCUGAGGGCCUUACUGCUUCUGCCCAGCCUCUCCUGACCUGCUCACGGCUCAGGACCCCGCUCAGCCCAGGGCCAUUGGCUGCUGCCUCAGUGAGGCCCCAGCAGGACUGGGCUCCAGCUCCACACAGCUCAGCCCAGUCAGCCACGGGCCCUGCCAAACCAGGCCUAACAGUGGCCAUGGCUUAGCCUGGCCCCCGUCUCUUGGCUCCUGUCUCCCUACAGAAAGCCUUUGUGGUCUGUGAGCUGCUGGCCCAUGCUGCCUUGUUGGAUUGGAUGGUUAUAGUUUUUUGUUUUCUUUUUUCUUUUUGAAUAUAAAAAGAAUGUAUAUGAUUUACGUUGGAGGUGUUGUAGAGUCUGUCCUGAUACAGAUACUGGUGACGUAGUGGAUGUAGGUGCCACCGUCCGUACUUAAUGAGAAGGCCAGCACUCAAACAGAAGUCUCCAUGAUGGGGCAGGAGGAGCCCCCCCUCCUGUGGAUGACUGUUGCAUUGGCUUCAUGAAGACUGCAGUGGGCAAGGUGCUGCAGGAACACAUUCCGUCCCCCAGCCGUCCUUCUGUGGGGACGGCACUGGGGACAGCUGACACUGGGGCCACUUGAAGCUGUGGCUGGAAUUAAUUUUAUCUCAAUGCCAGAUUUCCACCUUGAGCACAGCUGCGUAUAAGUAGAAGGCAAAGUGAUUUUUAUGCGUAUGUGAUAUGAUAAUUAAACUUAGCAUUUUCUCCGCAUUUGCUAUUCAGCACUGUAAAAGGAAGCUAAAUGAAUUGCCAAGGAGAUGUAGUGAAAAUUAAUGAUGGGGAUAGGACUCAGAAGGGCUGUUGACAUCUGGGCUCAAUGUUCUGCAGAAUAUCUAGUCAAUGGUUAAAAUCUGGUAAUCACCUUAGGUGAGCAUCCUUGGCUUUCUUCUGAUAAACCCCCCUGGCAUGUAGCUGAAUUUUGUGUCUUUCCUUCCAGGCCGGUCCUCUGCAGGAUCAUUAAGAUUUGAUGCAAUGACAGUUCUUUAUUUUAAAAAGGGGCUUUCUGAUGUCCGCUGCAGAACACCAUCUUAUAGAUCAACUUAUAUUACCAGAAACACGGCAAGAAAUCCUUAGACAUCACAACUAUACAAAACAUGAUUUGUCCAAUGUUAAACCACCAGCAAAGGACAAACUAUUUUUAGAGCUGUCAUAUGGUACCGCACCUGAGCUUUAUUUGUCUUCUGAUUAAAAGAAGUUUUCCUUCAGAAAAGUUCACUUGAAUCUUAUACUCAUUUAGUAAGUCUUACGUUCCAAUUCAAUUUAUUUUAAAGCAGAUUCUUUGGGGAAAAUUAUAAAGCUAAUUUGAAUUGAUUCUUUGGAGAUUCAGGUUUAAAUGAAGUGCCAUAAAAUUGGCAGUCAAAGGGAAAAAAUAGAAUUGGAUGUUAUACUUGUAUUACUCAAUGGACACGAGCGCCUUGCUUUUUGCUACUGCUGAGGGUUUUGAUGUCGUGUUUUUCAGACAGUUUAUAAACACAUAAGAAUUAAAGUUCACACCGUGUUCCUCAUUCAUGUGUAUUAUAUCACAUUAUAAACUUUUGGCUGCCAAGAUCAUAAAGUUAGUCAUUCACUGUUUCCGUUUUUUCAUAAUAAAUUCUAUAAACUCUCAAUGGUAUUAAUGCUAAUUUUGGGGAAGUGAAACAAAGUCCUGUAUUUGUUACGUGUUGAGAGGAUGGUACAUCAGAGUAAUACUUCUCACUAGCAAUAUCGUCCUUCUCCAUUUUCAAAUGUACAGGGUAGCAUUUGGUAAAAAUACUGAGCUGUUUUGGGUGUCGAGCAGUUUAGAAAUGUCUGAAGUUUGGGUGGCAAACGUGCGGCUUUUUCUGAAGCCAGUGUCUUUUUGAGGCCUUAUGAUCUUGUAUUACCAAGCACCUGGUUUCUCACUGACAAAUGAGUCAAAAUUUGUUCUUACAGGCUUUCUGGAAACAGGUUAAAUCCGAUUUCUUGUUUUGUUUUUGUUUUCCAUAAAGCCUGUAGAUACACCUUAAAAAUAGGGCUUUUUUCUUAGCAGAACUCAUGUUUUUCUGUUACUAUUUGAUGCAUUCAUAGCUUGGGAAAUUCACAGAAAUAAUGGCCAAGGAGCUGGUUGUUCAAUUUCCUCUCACAAAAAUUACUGGGUAGAUGUUCAUUACUCCAUCCCAGCACUGUGCUUCCAACCUAAUCAGAAGCAGAAGUGAGGAUAUGAAAAGACGUGCUAGAGAAAGCUCCAGUGCACUCCAUUAUGCAUUCUGCACACAUGGUCCUAUAUUAGAAAUGGCUGGUAUUUUGUUUGA